GACAGCCCCGUACACAAAAAUGCACAUGCUGUGAGCUCGAUGAGUAGGGCGGGACACGUGGUAUCCUGUCUGAAUAUGGGGGGACCAUCCUCCAAGGCUAAAUACUCCUGACUGACCGAUAGUGAACCAGUACCGUGAGGGAAAGGCGAAAAGAACCCCGGCGAGGGGAGUGAAAAAGAACCUGAAACCGUGUACGUACAAGCAGUGGGAGCCUCUUUUAUGGGGUGACUGCGUACCUUUUGUAUAAUGGGUCAGCGACUUAUAUUCUGUAGCAAGGUUAACCGAAUAGGGGAGCCGAAGGGAAACCGAGUCUUAACUGGGCGUUAAGUUGCAGGGUAUAGACCCGAAACCCGGUGAUCUAGCCAUGGGCAGGUUGAAGGUUGGGUAACACUAACUGGAGGACCGAACCGACUAAUGUUGAAAAAUUAGCGGAUGACUUGUGGCUGGGGGUGAAAGGCCAAUCAAACCGGGAGAUAGCUGGUUCUCCCCGAAAGCUAUUUAGGUAGCGCCUCGUGAAUUCAUCUCCGGGGGUAGAGCACUGUUUCGGCAAGGGGGUCAUCCCGACUUACCAACCCGAUGCAAACUGCGAAUACCGGAGAAUGUUAUCACGGGAGACACACGGCGGGUGCUAACGUCCGUCGUGAAGAGGGAAACAACCCAGACCGCCAGCUAAGGUCCCAAAGUCAUGGUUAAGUGGGAAACGAUGUGGGAAGGCCCAGACAGCCAGGAUGUU
rnacentral:rRNA from 1 species